GUCCAUGGCCACACCACUCUGAAUGCACUUGAUCUCAGAAGCUAAUAGAGCAGGGCCUAGUUAGUACUUGGAUGGUAAAAAUACACAAUUUUUGCUGGGGAUA
ensembl:rRNA 5S_rRNA 5S ribosomal RNA